rnacentral:misc_RNA from 1 species
AAGUCGUAACAAGGUAACCGUAGGUGAACCUGCGGUUGGAUCAUUAUUGAAUCAACGGUCUCGAGUCCUGUUCGCAGUUGACUCUUGACCUUACCUACCCCAUGUGCAACAUUAUUGUUUUUUGGGACCGUUAGCUUCGGUUGGCAGUCCCAGCAUUAUUAACUCUAUUUAAUUUGUCUGAAAUGAAACCAAGAAUCGUAACAACUUUUGACAACGGAUCUCUUGGCUCUC